rnacentral:rRNA from 1 species
UACGUAGGGUGCAAGCGUUGUCCGGAAUUAUUGGGCGUAAAGAGCUCGUAGGCGGCCUGUCGCGUCGGCUGUGAAAACCCGGGGCUCAACCCCGGGCCUGCAGUCGAUACGGGCAGGCUUGAGUUCGGUAGGGGAGACUGGAAUUCCUGGUGUAGCGGUGAAAUGCGCAGAUAUCAGGAGGAACACCGGUGGCGAAGGCGGGUCUCUGGGCCGAUACUGACGCUGAGGAGCGAAAGCGUGGGGAGCGAACAGG